UUGCUUCUACUGGUCAGUUUACGAAUCUGAUUUCUCUUUAAAGGGGAAACUUUAUCUCUGUAUUCGAUAUUAUACAGCUAAAGUCUGAAUGACGUUAUUGCCAAUGAAAUAAUUAUUUAAACAUAAUUAAACAGAAUUAUUAGAUUAUCUCUAAACAUGCAUAACUUAAUUUACAGGCCACCAUGUAUCACAUUUUCAGUAAAAAUCCAUGGACCUUUCAUGGAUGUUUUGGCCAAAAUUAAAUUUCAAACGUGUGCUUUAGAACAAGAAGUAGAAUCACCUCAAAAGUUUUAGAGAAAAAGUCAGACAUCUCUCAAACACAUGCACAUUUAUAAAACUAUAAUGUGCAUUUGCAUUUUUCUCCAGGAAAAAAAAAAUGAUAGUUUUAUGAUUCUAGAUAAAGUUGCACUGAAACACACUGGGAAACUGAAAGAUUCAGUAUUUUCAUACUUCCGUAACAGAACUGCCUACGAAGUCCACAGGGAGAACAGUACUACGUAGGGUCUAAUUAGUUAAGAAAAAGGCAACUUUAAAAUUCUGAAGACACUUUUAGUCUCCAUCUUUUGUAUUAUCUUAGGAAGCUGGAACACUGCCCCCAAGGAGUGCCGCCCUAUCAGUGCUGUUUUAAGUGGAAAUGGUCAAUCAGUCAUACCUAUUAUUUCCCCAGAAGAGGUAAGGCGAGCCACACGCAUACACAUUUACAUGCGUUGCACCGUGCCAACUAUUUCCAACCGAAAUGAUCAUAUACACGUCGAGCCGAGCUAUUUCCAGCCAGAAGCAGCGAAUGUCUGGACAGAGUCUAAAGAAACCCAACAGGCGAUGACUGCAGAGGGAGGGGCGGCCGCGCGGACCCCCAGCUCUCGCGCGUUCCGGGCGCCCGGCCACCGCACCGGCUCCGGGGCAGGGCAUCUGGGUGCGCGCGCGCGCGUCCGGGACGCUCCCGCCGGGAACAAACAAGCCCCGCGGGCCCAGGCGGGAGGGAGCAUCCUCGGGCGGGACUCGGAAAGCCUUCUCCUACCUGUCACUUAGCCCGGAGCUGCUGCCGGAGAUGCGGCCGCGGCCGCCGCCUGGAGAUCCAGGCUCAACAUUGUGCUAGGAACACAGUGAGGUGGUAAUACAUGUUUGCUGAGCUGAAAAUGAAUGGCCCUGCAAUCCACUGAGGGCUGGAACCAGAACCAGUGAGUUAUUUUUUACUUAUUUGCAGCCUCACAUUACACCUCAAGUGGUCAUUAAGUAAUAUUGAUUGACUCUGUUGUAUAAAUAUCUCUUAAAUCACUCUUUCCAUUCAAGGCUCAGCUUCUCCAACCUCUCCAGGAGGAAUUAAGCUUCUUUUGUUUCCCCAAAGAACCUUGUACAUUUCUAUUCUUAUAGCACUUGCCUCUUAGCCUUUUCUGUGUGUCUGUUUCACCUUAAAGGAGUGUGAAACUCUGGAGGGCAAAAAUCAGGGUUCCAGCUCUUUGUUUUCUUGCAAAAGAGGUAACAGUGUAUAUUUUUGAAAUAGGUAACACAUGCACAA
rnacentral:lncRNA from 1 species